CGCGUGUCGGCCAUAUUCAGAUACACUUCUGAUCAUCAGUUAUGGGACGUUAUGCUCCUUCCUCUGAGUUUGAAAUAAUUCUCAACAGCUAGGCUCAGUCUGGAAUCUGGAUAACGAUACGUAUUUACCCAAAUUGCACGGAAUCUUAUUAAGAACUACUUACAAAAUGAAUAAUAGAAUUACUAGAAAAUAAUAACUAGUGGAUAAUGUUCCUGAUCUUUAUCUGAAUAAUUCUUAUUCGGAUCUUGUACUUAUGUGCUUGAAGAUUAGAGAAAUACAUCAGCAGAUUCUCAAUUUUUGGACCAUGAAUCACAAUGAGAUUUCUAGGCGAUAGUGAAACACUCUUUCUUUAGAAAUCCAAACUACUACUGCCACAAACAGAAAAGGAAAAUACAUAAUUGGUGGAUGCAUUAAUAACAAUAAAUUACUUCAUUGAGCUUGGAAUUGGUCAUAAACCUGACUCACUUCAGCCUAUAGAUGAAUUAUCUACAUAGAUGACAGUUAUGGAGAACACUUUUUUUGGAGAAUGUAGUCACCCUUAAUGAAUAGGGACUUCAGCAGUUUGCGGUCUGCAGCAAUGUUUUUCAAUAGACACCUACCAAACUCAUCACAAAAAGCUUUUUUGUAUAGAAGAUUGAUUGAAUGCAUUUCAAGAGCAAAUUACAGAAUUAGUAGAUUCAUUAAUGAAAAUAACUGCCUUCAUUGACCUGGCAAUUGGUCAUAAACCUGAGUCCCUUUAGCCAAUAGAUGAAUUAUUUACAUAGAUGACACUCAUGGAAAACAAAUUUUGUCACAUUUGAUUGAAUGUUGUCACCCUUAAUGAAUAGGAGUGAAUAACAUAAUUGGUGAAUGCGCUAAUGAGAAUGACUGCCAUCAUUGAGCUACAAUUGGUCAUAAACCUGAAUCCCUUCAGCCUCGAGAUGAAUUAUUUACAUAGAUGACACCUGGACAAUGGACCUAUUGGAAUGUUGCCACCCUCAAUGAAUAGGAGUAAAUAACAUAAUGGGUGGAAGCUCUAAUGACAAUAACUGCCUUCAUUGAGCUGCAAUUGGUCCCAAACCUGACUCCCUUCAGCCUAUAGAUGGAUUAAUACAUAGAUGACACUUAUGGAGAACGCUCUUUUUAGAAUGUUGUUACCCUCAAUGAAUAGGAGUAAAUUACUUAAUUGGUGGAAGCUCUAAUAAUAAUAACUGCCUUCAUUGAGCUGUAAUUGGUACUAAACCUGACUCUCUUCAGCCUAUAGAUAAAUUAAUACAUAGAUGACACUUAUGGAGAACACUUUUUUUUUAGAAUGUUGUCACCAUCAAUGAAUGGGAUAGACUUCAGUAGUUUGAGGUAGGCACAGCAAUGUUUUUCGAUAGAUACCUACCAAACCACAAAGAGCUUUUUUGUACUAGAAUAUUGUUUGAAUGCAUUUCAGGAGUAAAUUAGAUAAUAGGCUGUGAUGAUAAUAACUGAUAUCUAUUUCUAGAUGUUCCCUUUUUUGCAUGAAUUCUUCCAUUCUUUUAGGCCUUUUCCAGUAGAUACUUCUUUAAGUGACUUUUCAGGGUUCUUCUUGUUAGUUGCCUGAAACCUUGAGGUAAAUUUUUAGAAUAGUUUUGAAAGAUUUCGAGGUCGUAUAUUCUGGAUUGGGUAUCAAAACCGACUGCAGGUAGCUGAGGUGGCUUCUCAGUAUGAACAUUUCUUUAUGAUGUCAAAUUUUGAAUUUUUUCUCCAAAAUCUUUCAGGAAACACUAAUGGCGGAUAGGUGUGGAAAAUCGAAGAUUCUUCGUAAUAUCAAAAUUUGUAGCUGAACUAAGCAGAAACUCUUUUCGUAAAGCAUUACAAAAUAUUCCAUACAUUUUAUAAGCAGAUGCACUUACCAAAUUAUAUUUCUAGGAUUCAACUAUGUGGCGCCAUCUAGGAAAAGUAGCUCCAACCAAUCGUUUGUAGAGGCCUAACGUCAUAGGAUCCUAUUCGUGUUUUGCUGCGCAAAUUAUAAGUUCAGAGAAUUGAAUAUAGAUGAUAUGGAGGCCAAAUCUUUACUGAAUUGAAUUUUUGGAAUUGUAAAGAAAAACUGAAAUAAUUGAUGUGUCGUCACUUCUAUAUUAGGUCUGAGGGUAUACACCUAUGUAAACUGUAAAUUAGUUUUCUCUAGACCAUAAUGUUCAAGGUUCAUCGGUAGAAAAAUUGUCUGAUGGAACCCUCUUGAAAAUUUUACCACAAAACUCGGAAAAGAUAUCUCCUAAAAGGAAAGAGAUUGAAGAUUUGUUUUCGGCUUGGUCAAAUGCUCCUUCUAAUGAAUUGUGUCACACACAUAUUUAACUUCUAAGGUGUUAAUGAAAUUUGCUAUGAAAAAGGAGUUCCUGUUUAUUUUGUGAAUAUAAUAAGUAUAUAAUUCCCUAUUCUUUGAGGGGAAAAUAUUUAAAAAAAGAGGUGAUUUCCAUAAGUGGCAUUUAUGUAAAUAAUGCAUCUAUAGGCGGAAGGGACUCAGUCACUUAAUUAUUUUUGCAAAGCAGGUUUUUUAAUACGAAUAUGUAAUCAAUAAUAUGUAUAUAAUUACCUAUUCAUUGAGGGGGGCAACAUACCAUAGGUGUCAUAUUACCUAUUAAUUUAGAAUGAUAUUAUUUGACAAUAAAAAUUGAUUUCCCUCAGUAUCAUCUAUGUGAAUAAUUCAUCUAGAGGCUGAAGGAAGUCAAGUUUAUGACGAAUUGUAGCUCAAUGAAGGCAGUUAUUCUGUAAUUUUUUCGUCCACUUGGGCACUGCUGAACGCUCAAAUAAGGUUGAAAGCCUCAGCUCUUCCAUUAUGCCGGAAAGAUCGACACCACGCUCCGGAUAUAUGCCUGUCUUCCUAUAUACGACGUAUUUCAGGAACUUCCUCUGAACUCGCUCAGUGGGAGUAAGAUGCGUUGCAUAAAUUGGGAACCAAAUCAUGUUAGCGUACUCCAACCUACUGAGAACAAGUGAAAAGUAGACAUUUCUGAGAGCAGACAGAUCGUCUAGCUCACGGAAGCUCCUGAACAGGAAACCCAAAGACUUACAGGCAGAUGAACACAGAUCCUCAACAUGUGGAACAAAACUCAGCUCACUGUCAAACCAAACUCCCAGGUCACGAAAACGAUCUCCAGCCGCAAUAAAAUCACCACCAAUGUGAUAAUCGAAAGCUAACUUUAAAACACUUCUUCAAAUUUAAAAUAAGUCCAUUCCGCAAGCACCAACCUUGAACCAACUCCAAACUUGACUGAAGAAGUAAUUGGUCAUUAAUUCCAUUUAUUCUCAUGAACAGCCUCAGAUCAUCAGCAUAGGCAAGAGCCUCACAAUUGAGAGAGCAUAAAAGGUCAUCAAUGAAUAUUAAAAACAUAAUGAAAUAAGCGAACCUUUACUUGAUAAAGUGAUUCUCAAGAUCAGUCAGCAUGAAGGAUGUUUUGCAACCAGUAUGUAAAACAGAAGAAUCUUUGCGUCGAUUGAAAAGCAGAAAUAUCUCAUCCUUGGAGGAGCCUUCAUCGUCUACAUCAGAAACAAUGACUGAUGAGAUGAAGAUUCGAGAACAAAUCAUAUUAGACAUCAAAUACUUCGUUUCAAAGCUACGACCAGUUACAUAGUCAAUUGAUGGCGAAGAUGCUUCAAAUCAGCUUGAAAAGAAUAUUUCUAUUUAAUAUAAUAGAUUCUAUUGUUAAUAUAUUUCUUGUUGUUAUGUUGAUAAAAUAAAUAUUUUAAUACUGCU